UUUACGUUGCAUGCGUACAUGACUUUCCGACACAGCUUUGCAAUCUCCCCAGCAUGCAGUCUGAUGUCGAUGUCUUCCCUAUAGAUGAUUCCAGAGACUCUGUGAGGCCACUAUUACAAGAUGCGACCUCACAAAAGAUGUUAACGAUGCUGUCAGACCUGACCAGAGCAGUUAACGAACUCCGUGAGGAGGUCAGAGCCAACCGCCAUCCCUGCUGCAAUGAAUCUGUAGAUGCUGGGGUAUUGCCUCUGGAUUUGCCUUUGCACAACAUUGAGGAGCUAAACAAUGCAGGGGCAGCCCUUCAAUCACCGGAGGCAAAUAAGGCAAUGGUGAGGCGCUUUGCCUUGAUUGGAGGGACCACACUGGAGGUGCGAGUCUGCCGCACCGCCAAACGAGCUGGCCUCGGUACUCAAUUGGGCAGGGAAAAAAACAAGGACCAGACAGCAAAAAAUGGCAUUUAAAGAGACAGCGCAGUGCAGAUGCAUAUUUGAUGGCCUGACGCAGCAGGUAGGGGCAAACUCUAUGUCUGAGUUUGUCUUUGCUCAAGCAGUCCAGAAAUGGCUCAGAUAUGCUCCGGAUUGUAAAAAUUAAAAAGUGACGUGAAACAUAGAAAUCUUAAUAGGAAACUUUGUCUUUUAAUAAAAUAUUUUGCAAACGAUACAUGUCUAUUGACCUUUUUUUUUCUUUUCUGUUCUCUGUUACAUGAUGUGUGAUGCUUUCUGUUUUUAGAACUGACUAUCAGAAUCAGAAUACUUUAUUGAUCCCUGGGGGAAAUUAUUUUUUGUUACAGUGCUCCAUUUUAAACCAACAUUAAGACAAGACAGACAAUACGCUAACUAAGAAUAGUACAAUAUGUACAUAUAUAUACAUACAUACAUAAGUCACUUAUAAAUAAAUAGUUGGAAAAGAAACAUGUGUAGUUGUA
ensembl:lncRNA